rnacentral:rRNA from 1 species
UACGUAGGGGGCUAGCGUUGUUCGGAAUUAUUGGGCGUAAAGGGUGCGUAGGCGGUUUGGUAAGUCUUAUGUGAAAUCGUACAGGCUCAACUUGUAGUCUGCAUGGAGAAACUGCCGGGCUUGAGUAUGGGAGAGGUGAGUGGAAUUCCUGGUGUAGCGGUAGAAAUGCGUAGAUAUCAGGAGGAACACCUGUGGCGAAGGCGGUUCUCUGGGCAUUGACCUGACGCUGAGGAGCGAAAGUGUGGGGAGGCGAAACAGG